GACAGCAGCAGCCACGGGAAUACGGAGGGUGCAAGCGUUAAUCGGAAUUACUGGGCGUAAAGCGCACGCAGGCGGUUUGUUAAGUCAGAUGUGAAAUCCCCGAGCUUAACUUGGGAACUGCAUUUGAAACUGGCAAGCUAGAGUCUUGUAGAGGGGGGUAGAAUUCCAGGUGUAGCGGUGAAAUGCGUAGAGAUCUGGAGGAAUACCGGUGGCGAAGGCGGCCCCCUGGACAAAGACUGACGCUCAGGUGCGAAAGCGUGGGGAGCAAACAGGAUUAGAUACCCCUGUAGUCCCUGUCUCUUAUAC
rnacentral:rRNA from 1 species